UGGGGAAUUUUGGACAAUGGGCGAAAGCCUGAUCCAGCAAUGCCGCGUGUGUGAAGAAGGCCUUCGGGUUGUAAAGCACUUUUGUCCGGAAAGAAAUCCUUGGCUCUAAUACAGUCGGGGGAUGACGGUACCGGAAGAAUAAGCACCGGCUAACUACGUGCCAGCAGCCGCGGUAAUACGUAGGGUGCAAGCGUUAAUCGGAAUUACUGGGCGUAAAGCGUGCGCAGGCGGUUUGCUAAGACCGAUGUGAAAUCCCCGGGCUCAACCUGGGAACUGCAUUGGUGACUGGGCAGGCUAGAGGUAUGGCAGGAGGGGGGUAGAAUUCCACGUGUAGCAGUGAAAUGCGUAGAGAUGUGGAGGAAUACCGAUGGCGAAGGCAGCCCCCUGGGCCAAUACUGACGCUCAUGCAACGAAAAGCGUGGGGGAGCAAAACAGGAUUAGAUACCCUGGUAGUCCACGCCCUAAAACGAUGUCAACUAGUUGUUGGGGAUUCAUUCCUUAGUAACGUAGCUAACGCGUGAAGUUGACC
rnacentral:rRNA from 1 species